UGAGGAAUAUUGGUCAAUGGCCGGAAGGCUGAACCAGCCAAGUCGCGUGAGGGAAGACGGCCCUACGGGUUGUAAACCUCUUUUGUCAGGGAGCAAACCUCUCCACGCGUGGGGAGUCGAGAGUACCUGAAGAAAAAGCA
rnacentral:rRNA from 1 species